rnacentral:rRNA from 1 species
AGAGUUUGAUCCUGGCUCAGAGCGAACGCUGGCGGCAGGCCUAACACAUGCAAGUCGAGCGGGCACCUUCGGGUGUCAGCGGCAGACGGGAGAGUAACACGUGGGAACGUGCCCUUUGGUUCGGAACAACCCAGGGAAACUUGGGCUAAUACCGGAUAAGCCCUUACGGGGAAAGAUUUAUCGCCGAAGGAUCGGCCCGCGUCUGAUUAGCUAGUUGGUGGGGUAAUGGCUCACCAAGGCGACGAUCAGUAGCUGGUCUGAGAGGAUGAUCAGCCUCACUGGGACUGAGACACGGCCCAGACUCCUACGGGAGGCAGCAGUGGGGAAUAUUGGACAAUGGGCGCAAGCCUGAUCCAGCCAUGCCGCGUGGGUGAUGAAGGCCCUAGGGUUGUAAAGCCCUUUCGGCGGGGAAGAUAAUGACGGUACCCGCAGAAGAAGCCCGGCUAACUUUCGUGCCAGCAGCCGCGGUA